UCAAGUACAUAUAAUUGUCAAGAGUGCU
rnacentral:sRNA from 1 species